rnacentral:lncRNA from 1 species
CUCAGCUGCAGUGCAAGUGGGGCAUGCUCCGUUGAGACUUUAUUCACUCUGGGCAGUUUGUUGAAGAUUAGGUGGUCAGCUCACAAUGAAUCAUAAGCUGCUUUUGUCCCUUGCUGUCUGUGCUUAGAAGCUAAAAGGUUAAGCAGCGAUGUCAGCGCUAUCAGGGAGCUGUGGAGACUGGAAUUGAAGUUCAGAACCUUUCAUGGGAGACAGCUCAGGUAAACAUCCAAGCAAAGUGAUAAAGGAAGAAAACAAUACGAAACUCACUACCC